rnacentral:rRNA from 1 species
CGUUAUUCGGAAUCAUUGGGCUUAAAGGGCGCGUAGGCGGCGGUGUAAGUUGGAAGUGAAAUCCCAUCGGCUCAACCGUGGAAUUGCUCCCAGUACUGCAUCGCUCGAGGGGGAUAGGGGUCUGCGGAACUACCGGUGGAGCGGUGAAAUGUGUUGAUAUCGGUGGGAACGCCAGUGGCGAAAGCGGCAGACUAGACCCUUCCUGACGCUGAUGCGCGAAAGCUAGGGGAGCAAACGGG